rnacentral:rRNA from 1 species
AGCGAACGCUGGCGGCGUGCCUAACACAUGCAAGUCGAACGUGAAAGGGAGCACUCCCAAGUCACGUGGCGUACGGGUGAGUAACACGUAGGUAAUCUACCCCAGAAUCUGGAAUAACCGGCCGAAAGGCUGGCUAAUACUGGAUAGAGCGACGGAAUCCGUAAUUGGGUUUUUCGGGAAAGGGAGCCUGUAAAAAGGCCUUCGUUCUGGGAUGAGCCUGCGUCCCAUCAGCUAGUUGGUGAGGUAAAAGCUUACCAAGGCAAUGACGGGUAGCUGGUCUGAGAGGACGAUCAGCCACACUGGAACGGAAACACGGUCCAGACGCCUACGGGAGGCAGCAGUGGGGAAUCUUGCGCAAUGGACGAAAGUCUGACGCAGCAACGCCGCGUGAGUGAAGAAGGCCGUCGGGUUGUAAAGCUCGGUCGAGUGGGACGAAAAUGCUUGGAGUUCACAGCUCCAGGAACUGACGGUACCACUAAAGGAAGCACCGGCUAACUCCGUG